AAUCUUAUUUUAAUUUUAAACUGCAAAUUUAAAAAUGAAUAAAUUCUAAGAUUUUU
rnacentral:tRNA from 1 species